rnacentral:tRNA from 2 species
AGGGGAAUAGUUCAAUGGUAGAGCAACGGUCUCCAAAACCGUAAAUGGGGGUUCGAGCCCCUCUUCCCCUGCUA